CAAAGAGGCGAAACUCAGAGCGGCGAGGUCCUCCCUCGCGGCGUCCGCUCGCGCGUGGGUGGCUCGACCCUGAGGUCGCCCCGCGGGCGGAUCCUCCGAGCGCUCCGUCCCGCCGUGCACCUGCCGCGGGGUGACCUUGGACAGGAAGUCGCUUGGCUGGCCCUGGAGGCCUCCGGACUCCGAGCCGGGCGCCCGGGGCGGCGGAGUCGCUCGCGCAGUCCCGCGUCGCGGCCGCCGGGGAGAGCCCGCGGUGAACACCGGCGUCCCGGACACUCGUGACCCCGACCGUGACCUCCCGCGCGGCCGCCAGCCUCCCUACCCCGCCGUACCUGCCGACGGCUCCGCGCUCGCAGCUCCAGCCCACCGGAGCGUCCAAGCAGCCCGCACCAAGGCCUUAUUCUCCGCCGCCACCGCGGGGACAGCUUCCGCCGGAGCCUCCCGCCCCCCGGAAACGCUUCCCGGUCCCGCCCCCGAAACUGCCAGUACUUCCGGAGGCGCAUCAGCGACGCUGUGGUGUGCGCAUGCUCUAGGAGCUCCUUUGGGGCGGGUCUUCAGGAGAGCACGCUGAGGCGGCCAGCGCCUGCGCAAUAAGAUCUAGCGCAGGUCACGUGUAGGGACACAGUCCCAGGUCUAGAAGAGUUAUCUAGUUUCGAGUUCGAAACUCUGGAACUGCGAGCGACUUCAGCGGGUAAAGGCGCUUGCCGCCGGGGUUCUACCCUUGGAACACCCACGGUGGAAGAACUGACUCUCGCGAGUGGUCCGCUAACCUCCACAGGCACACUAUGGCUUUGGUCACAUGUCUGUGCCUGAUGCAGUACCACCAGCUAAUCACGAGAUGACCAAGACGGUUUGGGUCAAGUCUGAGUCAUCUCUUCCAGAAGGGGACAGUCUACCUUCACCAGGUUCAAGAAACCACACCUGCUACCUAAACAAAGUAUUUGUUUGACCUAAUAUUCCCUGUGGGAAUUCUUGGAGGCGCUGGAACACUUAUCCUUGAACCUGAUUAAAAAGGUGUUUUUUGUUUAA